UUCUAUUCAAAGUUUUCCGCUAUCGAAAUAAGUUUGUUUGCUGCAUGGAAGAAAUUACGACGAAAACCGUUGAAAAACUGUUUCAAACCGAAGAAUCGAACUUUUUGUUCAUUCAAACCAAAAUUACCAUUCGCAGUAGUUAUGAAAACGUUUUCGGUUAAAAACGAUAAAAAGCCCCAGUCUAACGAACCAUCCGAAGGAAUUUAAACAUUUUGGUGGAAUAGCAUCAGCAUAGCGAAGUCAUGGAUACCGGAAUACAGCAGUACGCUUUUAAUGAGAAAAAAAAUCCGGAAGCAUCUGUAUAUGGCGAGUGAAUAUGCCUCAAACGAUUUGUCGCGGUUUGAAUGAGUCCAUCAGUCAUGAAACGGCGGAAAUCACGGAAACUUCAAAGCAAACCAAGCCAAACUUUGCGUCAUUUCGCGUUGAACCUCUUCAGAUUUGGAACAAGCUAAUUUUUGCUGCGUGAAACCCAAUUACGUUAAAAUUCUCGAAAACCGGUGAUUCUGCACUCCCAAGUAGAUGCUACGGUUCAAAACGAUCUAGAGUAUUUACCGAAUGGGACGAUCAAGGCAAGGAAUCUCCGACAGUGGAAAGAAUGUUCAGGUGGUUCUCUGUAAGAAAAAAGAUCGAAAUUUCAGCACGCGUUGGUCGUUUUCGGAAGGGUUUUUGGUCUGGAGCCAGUGCUGGAAAAUGAUGUUAAAUUAAGUGUGGAUAAAGUGGAGCUCCUUUUCGAUGAUUAUAGCAAGCGUCCGAAACCGUGCGUACGGAGGAAGCGGUUCUAAUUAAUUUGGCUGCACUUGCAGAGAAGCUGGACCCAACGAACCGUCCGAAGGAGUUAAAACAUUUUGAUGCUGUUCGGUAAAGUCAGGAUACCGGAAUACAGCAGCACGCUUUCAACGAUAAAAAGUGAAACCCAGUUCCGGAGCAUCUGUAGUGACGAGUGAAUCUGCCUCAGACGAUUUAUUGCGGUUUAAAUGACGAAACGGCCCAACAAGGAAUAAAAGGACUAGAGAACAUUUAUACGCCCAACUUGAAGUGAACUUGCUUGAUUUUGAUUCACCUAAUUGUGGCUGAAGGUUCAGCAGGAAGCAGGGAGCGGCGGGAACCGAACAUUGGAAAGCUCGAGCUUCUACAAUUGUUGUACAGUAUGGAUGUGUAUUGCAUCUACUUUUCUCAGAUUGUCUUUUAAUUGCUUAAGCCCAGGCUCUGGUCGGUCGGACGAUUUGGAAGAGAGACUGAAAAAGCUACCAGACAUCGGCUCUGAGAAAAUUCCCCUUCUGUAAGCGCGCAUGGGAGUUCGGACACCAAGAAUAAAAUAAAAUAACGACCAAUAAAUUGUUUUUAUAAAUAUUAUUUUUCAUUCAUUCCACGUUCCCUAGAUUGGCCGGUGAGCGUGCAGUCGGUUUCGACCCAGGCCAGUUCUUCGACAUCAACCUGAAAAAGAACAAAUUUUAAAUGGUGGUUGUCCGUGAAAGUAGAUAGGGUAUCGAACGUCUUCGGCAGUGGUUUCUUCGGCAGGUUUCCGCGUCAGAAAACCGGCCGAAGAAAACCACUGCCGAAGGCGUUCGACUAUAUAAAACAAAAUAUCUACAACUAUGGAAGUACAUAUACCCAUAGCGAUCA